UACGUAGGGGGCUAGCGUUAUCCGGAAUUACUGGGCGUAAAGGGUGCGUAGGUGGUUUCUUAAGUCAGAGGUGAAAGGCUACGGCUCAACCGUAGUAAGCCUUUGAAACUGGGGAACUUGAGUGCAGGAGAGGAGAGUGGAAUUCCUAGUGUAGCGGUGAAAUGCGUAGAUAUUAGGAGGAACACCAGUUGCGAAGGCGGCUCUCUGGACUGUAACUGACACUGAGGCACGAAAGCGUGGAGAGCAAACAGG
rnacentral:rRNA from 1 species